rnacentral:lncRNA from 1 species
GGGAGAGUGAAAGAGACGAAGGUCGUGGGUAUGGGUAGAUCUAGGGUCGUCCGGUUAGGUUUAGGGCUGGUUAACUCGAAUUAAAUCGCUCCCAGCGACAGAAAUACGAGCGACCUCACGUGGUCGCUUCGAGACGUCGCUCCCAGAGCGACUCUCGAGCUCCGGACACCGAAUAUGCGAGCGACUUAGCCAAGUCGCUCUGAUCACGUCGCUCCCAGCGACAGAAACACGAGCGACCUCACGUGGUCGCUGCGAGACGUCGCUCCCAGAGCGACUCUCGAGCUCCGGACACCGAAUAUGCGAGCGACUUAGCCGAGUCGCUCUGAUCACGUCGCUCCCAGCGACAGAAAAUGCGAGCGACCUCACGUGGUCGCUGCGAGACGUCGCUCCGAGAGCGAUUCUCGAGCCCCGGAGACAAAAAUGCGAGCGACUUGGACCAGUCGCUCUGAUCACGUCGCUCCCAGCUGGAGCGACCUCGUGGCGUCGCUGCGGAACCUCACUCCCACGCUCGAUUCUUUGCCUUGACCGGAUCGAUGAACCACCUGAACACUACUUCAACACUUUCCCCACUUUUUUUUAUGAAAUAUGAUGAAAAUAAAAAUACCAAUGCAAUAUGUACAAGGAUACGCAUGAGAGUCGCUCUGAUAGGCCGCUCUGGGUCGCAGAAAACGCGAGCGACCUCACGUGGUCGCUGCGUCACGCCGCUCUGAUCGACAGAAAAUGCGAGCGACCUCACGUGGUCGCU